rnacentral:rRNA from 1 species
AUUGAACGCUGGCGGCAUGCUUUACACAUGCAAGUCGGACGGCAGCACAGAGAAGCUUGCUUCUUGGGUGGCGAGUGGCGAACGGGUGAGUAACAUAUCGGAACGUACCGAGCAGUGGGGGAUAACUAAUCGAAAGAUUAGCUAAUACCGCAUAUUUUCUGAGGAAGAAGCAGGGGACCAUUUGGCCUUGCGCUGUUUGAGCGGCCGAUAUCUGAUUAGCUAGUUGGUGGGGUAAAGGCCUACCAAGGCGACGAUCAGUAGCGGGUCUGAGAGGAUGAUCCGCCACACUGGGACUGAGACACGGCCCAGACUCCUACGGGAGGCAGCAGUGGGGAAUUUUGGACAAUGGGCGCAAGCCUGAUCCAGCCAUGCCGCGUGUCUGAAGAAGGCCUUUCGGGUUGUAAAAGGACUUUUGUCAAGGGAAGAAAAGGAA